AGCGUGCAAAGUUGCUAUGCAAAGAGAGCUCUCUAUAAUGCUUCCUCGCUCCCCCUGGCUUGCUGGUCUGGAUCCAAUACUUUCAUGACAGGCAGGAGCAAGAAAACCAACGUUGCUCUAGCAAGUUUGUUGGAGAAGACAAAAUGAGAAGAUUGUGCUUAGAGUUACACUGAAUUGGAUUUGGAGAGUCCUGCUCAGCUUCUCGGAGAUGGAAAAUCGUGGUGUGCAGCUCCCAUGCGUUCUGAGGAACUAAGGACAGCCCAAAAGCUUGCAUAGUCACAGACAACUGCCCAAGUAUAAGCCUAAUCUACUACACAGGGUUGUUGUGUCGGUUAAGUGAUUCAACGAGGAAGGAGAGGACCGUGUCUGCUGCCUUGAGGUACCUGGAGAAAAAGGUGGGAUAGAAAUCCAGUACUUAAAAGAAAUGAGGAAAAAGUAUGUGUAUUUGUGUGUGUGGGGGGGGUGUUGUUGUCUUUGAUUGCUUUUUCUUGAUUUAAGUGUGUGUGUGUGAUAUUCAACAUUGUCUCAUAUAUGAGCUUUCCAAGGAAGACUGAUCAAUGGGCAGCUCUAUCAAUUAAAUAACCCAGAAAUACAAUAAUAAUAAUAAUAAUAAUAAUAAUAAUAAUAAUAAUAAUAAUAAUAAAUCAGUGCAACACUGGCACUUCCAAGAAACUGCCCCCUUUGUUGCUGA